UCCCAGUUAGUAUAGUGGCUAGUAUCACCCCCUGUCACGGGGUAGACCCGGGGUUCAAAUCCCGGAAUGGGAG